rnacentral:rRNA from 1 species
UACAGAGGUGGCAAGCGUUGUUCGGAAUUACUGGGCGUAAAGGGCGCGUAGGCGGUCUUGCAAGUCCUGUGUGAAAUCCCUCGGCUCAACUGAGGAACUGCACAGGAAACUGCUUGGCUUGAGUUCGGGAGAGGGAAGCGGAAUUCCGGGUGUAGCGGUGAAAUGCGUAGAUAUCAAGAGGAACACCUGAGGUGAAGACGGGUUGCUGGGCCAACACUGACGCUGAGGCGCGAAAGCCAGGGGAGCAAACGGG